ACGAACGCUGGCGGCAUGCCUAACACAUGCAAGUCGAACGAAGGCUUCGGCCUUAGUGGCGCACGGGUGCGUAACGCGUGGGAAUCUGCCCUUUGGUUCGGAAUAACAGCUGGAAACGGCUGCUAAUACCGGAUGAUGACGAAAGUCCAAAGAUUUAUCGCCAGAGGAUGAGCCCGCGUUGGAUUAGGUAGUUGGUGGGGUAAAGGCAUACCAAGCCGACGAUCCAUAGCUGGUCUGAGAGGAUGAUCAGCCACACUGGGACUGAGACACGGCCCAGACUCAUACGGGAAGCAGCAGUGGGGAACUUUGGACAAUGGGCGCAAGCCUGAUCCAGCAAUGCCGCGUGAGUGAUGAAGGCCCUAGGGUUGUAAAGCUCUUUUACCAGGGAAGAUAAUGACUGUACCGGGAGAAUAAGCCCCGGCUAACUCCGUG
rnacentral:rRNA from 1 species